rnacentral:misc_RNA from 1 species
CAUUCCUUUGCGAACGCAAUCCGCGCAACUCUCCCCCGUCAGGACUGGCGGGACAAAAUCCGCAACGGGCGCGAUAGUCGUUCUUUUCGAGGCACAAGGCAACCCGAUAGGACAACUAGGGAGAGGCAAGCCCUCCCCGCCCGCAUAACUUUCCGCAUCCGAAACCACGAGCAAUAGACAUAUGCUCCAACACAGACAGGUCAUGGCGUGCGUGGAACACGUGCAUCGCUACGAGGUUGGCCCCAUGCCAUGAGAGGCAAAGGGCGAAGGAGCACAAUCAUCAAGUUCAAUUUCCACCGUAGUGGGUAAGCAGCACAGGAACCUAGCGUCGCCACGAAAAAGAUUCGGGCCUUUGUAUCUGAAGCGAUCGCGGGAAAGUAGUUCGGUGCGCGAAGCAUGGAGCCUACCUUCCCACACGAUCCUAACA